rnacentral:rRNA from 1 species
GAUUUCUGGUUUAAUGCACCUGGCCCGCGGCCUCUAGGCUUGUGAGUGCCGGCGCGCGUUUACCAUCCUUCUAGAAAACGAUUCUGCCAUUCACUUGGUUGGGAUCGCGAUCUAGAUCAUUUACUUUGAAAAAAUUAGAGUGUUUAAAGCAGGCUUUUGCUAUGAAUACAUUAGCAUGGAAUAAUAAUCUAGGACUUCGGUUCUAUUUUGUUGGUUUCUAUAACUGAAGUAAUGAUUGAUAGGGAUAGUUGGGGGUGCUAGUAUUGGCCGGCCAGAGGUGAAAUUCUUGGAUUCGGUCAAGACUAACUUAUGCGAAAGCAUU